rnacentral:rRNA from 1 species
AGCGAACGCUGGCGGCAGGCCUAACACAUGCAAGUCGAACGAACUCUUCGGAGUUAGUGGCGGCCGGGUGAGUAACACGUGGGAACGUGCCUUUAGGUUCGGAAUAACUCAGGGAAACUUGUGCUAAUACCGAAUGUGCCCUUCGGGGGAAAGAUUUAUCGCCUUUAGAGCGGCCCGCGUCUGAUUAGCUCGUUGGUGAGGUAAAGGCUCACCAAGGCGACGAUCAGUAGCUGGUCUGAGAGGAUGAUCAGCCACAUUGGGACUGAGACACGGCCCAAACUCCUACGGGAGGCAGCAGUGGGGAAUCUUGCGCAAUGGGCGAAAGCCUGACGCAGCCAUGCCGCGUGAAUGAUGAAGGUCUUAGGAUUGUAAAAUUCUUUCACCGGGGACGAUAAUGACGGUACCCGGAGAAGAAGCCCCGGCUAACUUCGUG